GUGCGUAACGUAAAGCGACGGAAACCACUAGACAGCGCUAAUGUGCGUAGAAGUCCACGAUUAAUGUUAUUGGCAAACACGAUGCGCAGAAAUCAAACAAACUUACCAAAGGCUGAGGUGGGACUACCACGGUUAGAAAGCAGUCAUGUGGAACAGAUGGUAUUGAGGUCAAAAGGCCAAAAUUCAAAAGACUAAUUUAUAAAGUGACAAACAUUCUGUGUAGAGAUACAGAUUGUAAAUAACGGUUAAUAUCCUUGAUAGCGGAUUAAUUAGGACUCGAAACUAACCGCAAAAGACAAUGGCGUUCCUAAACUAACGGUUUGUCAGUAUUGAAAUAGAUUAAUAGGAAAUCUUGAAUUGUGUUAUGUGACGUCACUUAAGCGUCAAAAUGAAAUAUCAUGUACUGAUUGAAUUACCAGCGAAUGGAGUACAAAACAGUUUUUUUCCAAAUCGGCAAUUUAUUCUUUAAAAUGACAAAUCUCCGGUUUUGUCUGUAAUUUUACCCGGCACCGUAAAAUUUGAUUCGAGCGCUAUUGCGCAUGCUCCAACUAGACUGCAUAAUUAGGAUGAUUAAUCAACAACUAAAAAAAUCAUCAAUGGUUUAUAACGAUUGGUAUCAUGUGCACACUUUACCCAACAAAGAGUUGCAUAAUGGUCCGGGUUGGUAUAAUUUUUGUUUCGGCCCCGCAUUGUUGAAUUUGGUAUACUACAGUUUUAAUGUUGGUAUAUCAUGUCAGGUUAUACUCCGCAUUUGAUAAAGCAUUGCAGGUGCUGCACCUUCCAUAUAUAGUAGUAGGAUUGGGGAAUAUGGAACACUUUGUCUGACGGGACUGUUUUAUAAUUUUCUUUUUACGAACCACCAAUUAAUGAUAUCCAAAAAUUAUUUUUACCGAAUUACAUAGUAUUAUUACGACUUAAGAAGAUUACUGUUGUUAAUAAAAAAA